UCCCUUCUAUAAGUAUCGCACCCCCCCGAAGGUCUAAUUCUUUCUCUUUUCUCUCUCCUCUCUCAGUUUACCGUUCGAUCCAGAGGGUUUAACUGGGGUUUAAGCCCACCUUCUCUACCUCUACCUCUACCUCCAUAAGCUAUAAUUUAAAUCAAGCAAUUUUCUUGCUUUUCCGGGUAGAGGGGCUAAGGCUAAUUCAAGCUGAAGCUGGUCGUCUUUGGAGCACUGUCUUCUGAGCUCAUCUUCUUCGAUGCUCAAAGUAGAUCCAAACCCUAGAACUGACCGGUCAUCGAUGAAAUGACGAUUUGUGGGUGAAUAAGGCGGAUUUUGGAGGAAAUUAUUACAGCGAAUGGUGCAUUUAGAUUUGCAACAUCGAAUGAAGUGAUAUGUGGUGUUGAAUAUGAGCGAUGGAGGUCGGGAGAGUGAAAGAGAACCUGAAAAACCAGCUCGUCAGAAGAGAGCCGGUGGAGAUGAAUUGGCCCGAGCGGCUGCAAGGCUUGCUGUAGCACAGAUAUCUGAGAGUCAGGGGUUUCAGACUUUUCAGCACUCUGCUCUUGAAACACUGUCUGACGUUGCUGUUCGGUACAUUUAUGAAAUCGGCAAGACUGCAAAUUUCUAUGCCAAUCUUUCAGGUAGAACGGAGUGCAAUGUUUUUGAUAUAAUUCAAGGGUUGGAAGAUUUGGGCUUGGUACAGGGGUUUUUGGGUGCUUCAGAUAUUGAGCAUUGCCUCGCAAAUUCAGGCACAGUUAAGGAACUUGUUCAGUAUGUUGAUGAAGCUGAAAAGAUCCCAUUUGCAUAUUCUCUUCCGCAGUUUCCAGUUGCUAAAGACCGGAAGCUAACUCCAAGUUUUUUACAAAUUGGGGAAGAGCCUCCAGGUGAGCAUAUACCCGCUUGGUUGCCUGCUUUUCCUGAUCCCAGCACUUAUGCUCCAUCAUCUUCUAGGAUUGAGAGAAGUAUAGAACCUCCCACGUCUAAGAUUGACCAGGAAAGCCACAACAGAAAGGUAGAAAGGUCUUUGUUGAACUUACAUCAACGGUUAGCUUGUAGUGGACUGGAAGGACCCUCCUUAGUCAACCAUGGGGAUGCUACUAAGGCAAAACAAGCAGUUGGGAGUAAUCCGUUUCUUGCUGCACCUCUGCAAUUCGGAGAAAAGGAGGUAUCUCCUGUUCUUCUUCCAGCGAAAGUGAAGCUUUUAAAUGAAGCAAUCAUGAGAAAUCCUAGUAUGGAAAAUCAUGGCAGGGAUAAUCAUAUCUCAGUGUUAGAGGCAUUGGCUCCAGAUAUUGAAGCAAUGGAGAGCAGAUUGCUUGAUUCUGAAGAAAAAGAAAAAAAGGUUCUUUUGAACAGCAGGCCAGCUGUACAAUUUAAGAUCGGUAUUGGAAGGAAGUCCUUAGGGACAAUGCAAGAUUUAAGCCUUCAGAAAAAGAGUUUUGAGGUAACUUCACCAUGGUUUGGGAGGGAAAAUGAGAAGGAUGACAAGAAGAUGAGGGCCGAGAAAAUUCUGAAAGAGUCUAUGGGACACACACAGGAACUGGGUCAUUUGUAAAUUAGGUUUGUUUCAUUAGAAUUUUAUACUUGUUUAUGAGACUCGUGACAGAUGAUGGUUCCAGGGUAAUUGUAGUGAAGGGCAUAAUGUUUUCUGCAUAGGGCAUUAUAGAUUGGAUACAACAAACCGCAUGCAGAAAUGUUCCCACAUUAAAAAGUUUUUGAGGGUCAGCCACAUUGAAUGGGAGCUUAGCCGAAGCCAAAAAUAUGAAAGGAGAGAGAAAAUCUAUGUAUUGGACCCAAUUUAAGGUGGAGAUUUACUGGCUAGCAAAGAGCUAGGCUGAUAAUAAAGAAUUAUUGAGAUUUUAUAUAGAGCAAGACCCCCACCCAGAUAAAUAUAAAAUGUGAGAAAGAAAGAGAGUGAGAGAGAGAAUCUGUUCAAUGUUACCAAAACUCCUACAUGGAGAAUACUUAAAAAAAAGAAGUUCUAUCUUGAGAGUGGCUUCCUGAAAGGCCCACCAGACUGGCCUUGCAGACCAACUCCCUGACUGUUUACAAUUUCAGUUAUUAAGUCUUUAAAGAUCAACCGCUCAAUAUCCAACACUAACCCAGGAAUUUCGCUGUGGCAAUCUAUCCAUUUCAUUGAUCGAUGUGUUAAAUCUUCUGAUAUGAUGCUCCUCAAGCUGUCAUACUCGCCAACUAGGCUUCUGUUCAAGUUAUUAUUCUUUAGCAGAUCUACCUCUGAACAAAUUUCUUCCAGAAGGUGCUGCCCUUUUGGAUUUCCUGCUGCUUGCUUUUUUGGUGAUAACCAUUUCUGUGGGGGAGUAGGACAUCCUAAAAGCAACUUUCGAACAAGAAUUUCAUUAACAGUAUCAAAUACGAGUACUCUUUGAAUUUUCUCAGAGGGUUCUAAAUUAAAAAUUCUUUCAUCACUUUGCUUAUCAUUCAAGAGCCCAGCACUUGCCUUUGUUUGUUCCAAUGCAAGGAACGAGUUAAAAUUGAUUUGGUGGCCCGAUGCUUGGAGCUGAAUGGUUGUUGAGCCAGAGUCAAGAUCUCUAAGGAGGCCCGAUGAUAACGAUAUUUCUGAAAUGUGUCUGUAGUUUGAAUUCAUGCUCUCAUGGAGUGCUGCAGUGUAAGCAGUGAUGGUUUCCUCUUCAGUAGUGUUUUCUUGUUGAAUAUUCUGAACUAAAUGCUGGAUGCUUUCUGAUUUUUUAUCAUCAACAUCAGCACUGAAACAGGGCUUUGUUCUCGUCGGCAAUUGAGCUCGAUCUACUGGAAUCCAUUCCCCUUCUUCAGGAUCUCGGGCCUCAUAAUCUGUAGCAAGAAUUUCGAGGAGAAUUCGGUAUAUUAAGAGUCUUGCAUCCUAUAAUAAAGCAGUCUCUCCGUCUGUCUCACUGACACUCUCUCUGCCCCUCUCAUUUCUUAUUGUAAGUAGGAGUGGACUGUGUUGGCACUCCUAAAAUGGAGAUGUUGACUCGUCUCUGUUAAAGGUAGCAUCAAGAACAGACACGGGGCUUGGUUGUUCUAAGGCAGCUAUUGCAGGUUUAACCAUGAUCCUGUCUUCGCUGGACCCUGGUGCAGUCUAAAUGAGAGAAACAAAACCUGUUAACCAGAUAAUAAAUUACUUGUGUGGGUAAAUAAGAGCAUGCACAAAUUACCUUAUGUUUCUUGCCAUCCUGCUUGAAGAAGGUGGCAUUGAUCUUAUCAGAGUGAUUGGUGCUUGUGAAUUCUGUAUCAGUAUGAGAACACAAGCUAAUGUUGCUUUCUGAUGUCAGAGAAAAGGUGUCACCUUGGUGAGUUAAAUUUCUCAUGCCGCUGCUGGUCUCACUCAACUGGUCAUUGCAUUGCUGCAAACUGGGAGAUAUUAGUCUGAGUUUUCUACCCGGGGAGAUUGGUCCCACUGGUUGUCUAGUACGUUGCCUAAUGGCUUUGGUUGUAUCCGAAGAUGGGAUGGUGGGAGGUGACUGCUUCUGCAAACUGAUCUUCCUUUGUUGCAACCUCGGGCUCACAGUUACUGAGCUUGUGUUGUUUUCUCCAAUGAUGUGUCUAGGCACCUUUAAGGCUGAUGUUGAUUUUGAAGUUCUCACAUUGGUUUUCUUAUCCGUGGAGCAAGACAGUGGACUGAAAUGGUCUUUUAGAUGAUUGCUUCUUGGCGAUAGAUCUUUAGCUGUUUGCAUUUUAGCCAUUCUCCCAUUUGCAGAAAAACCAGGCUUGUUGAGACCUGACAUACAUUCGGUCGGAAUUAUGGUGGAAGCACAAUCCAUUGUUUUUCUGAUUUUGACCAUUGGGAAUAUAGAACUCUCUGAAGAAUGCAGCCCCUUGGUUGUGGUGGAAACUGAGUCCUUAUUUUGUACCUUUCUUGGGCUUGCUAAAUUUGAGCUUUGGUGAUAACUGCCAUAGUUGCAUGUUUGUGAUGCAAAUUUUGAAGCUUGCUCUCUUUUGUAAUCUAAUGCUGUGUUGGUCUUCUGCAUUGCUUCAAGCAUCUGUUUAGGAGCUCUGAGAUUUUUACCAGAUUUUUUGAACUCAAGUUUGGCUAACCGUUUUUCGAUUUCACCAUAAACAGAGGGGUAGGAGUUUGAGGCUUUUGUGGUAGCUUCCCUGUACUUGAAAGGUAUUUGUUGAGAACUUUGCCUGCCAUCUGGCUGCCUCCACGGAGUUGGUUCUGUAGGGAAUCUUGAUCCUGAGGUAGGCCUCAUAACUGAAUCAGCAUCUUUUGACCUGGAUGACAUGGGGUCCUUGUACGAUUUCCUUGGGGAAGUAGAAAUUUGAUUUUUCUUGUUUCCAUCAGUUGUUCUUGAUGAUUUUGAGAGGGGAUCAGAUUUAUCAGUUUGGCAGCUACUAAUAAACCCUAAUGGAUUCUCACUGGUGGAUGUUGACUGUUGGAAAGCUUCCAAUCCCAUCAACUUCACUAUAAGGUUUGAUGGUCGAUCGGAACUUUCUGGUUCUUGCUUCUGGUUAAGCUUCUCACUGGAGUCGUCAUUCCUUCUUUUCAGAUCCUUCAAAAGAAAAUUUGAUUUUGUUUCAGAGGCAGGACCCCUUAUGGAGCCUUCUCUGCUGUCCAAUGAAAGCCUUGGGAGUUCCUUGAGCUUUAUUCUGGACUUGCAUGCAUCUUGUGAUACCCUUCCAUCAUAAGAGAGCCGGGGAACAUCCUUCAGUGAGGAGAGCACGAUUCUUUGUUUCUGUUCCUUGUAAUUCCUUGGUACUUCCUGGAGCUUAGCAAGACUGCGAACUGAAUCAUUGACACCAGAAGCUCUGGACUUGACGCAUUUGGGUGGCGACAAAGGUCUCGGGGAGCCUAUGUAUUUCAAGGUAGUGCCUACUGCUACCUCUUUUCUAUAAGUCUUCACCGAUAAUGCACGGCCCUCUCUGUAGAUGGGUUCUUUAACAACAUCUCGAAGAUCAAGAGAUUGCUGGCUUGACUGCAAAGACGCAUAUGGUUUGUUCAUAGGCAGAGUGGGGUUUCCAGGGAAACUGGGUUGGUUAAACAAAGAUGGCUCGAAUUGAGCUGUUUUACAGUUGAGAGAGGAGAAGCUAGAUGAACAUGUGGAGGAUGAAAGAGAGGUUUGGGAUGAUUCUGUCGAGACUCUCUGUUUCUCUUUCACAAACUUCUUUGGGUUUCUUUCCUACAAUUGUAAGCCAAAAUAUAUCAAAUUGCAUCUGCUUGAAACGAGCAUUGUAGUAGCGAUUAAAGUCAAAUUCUUACCGUAACUCUCUGUAAUGCACGAGUUUCUGUUGCGGAGUUCCUAUUUUGACCUAUUGUAACAACUAGAAGUGAGAUGUUGAAUAAACCGAUAGAAUGAUCAAUGGUAUUAACUUUUAACAUUA